rnacentral:rRNA from 1 species
GAUGAACGCUGGCGGCGUGCUUAACACAUGCAAGUCGAACGAUGAAGCCCAGCUUGCUGGGUGGAUUAGUGGCGAACGGGUGAGUAACACGUGAGUAACCUGCCCUUAACUCUGGGAUAAGCCUGGGAAACUGGGUCUAAUACCGGAUAGGAGCGUCCACCGCAUGGUGGGUGUUGGAAAGAUUUAUCGGUUUUGGAUGGACUCGCGGCCUAUCAGCUUGUUGGUGAGGUAAUGGCUCACCAAGGCGACGACGGGUAGCCGGCCUGAGAGGGUGACCGGCCACACUGGGACUGAGACACGGCCCAGACUCCUACGGGAGGCAGCAGUGGGGAAUAUUGCACAAUGGGCGCAAGCCUGAUGCAGCGACGCCGCGUGAGGGAUGACGGCCUUCGGGUUGUAAACCCCUUUCAGUAGGGAAGAAGCGAAAGUGACGGUACCUGCAGAAGAAGCACCGGCUAACUACGUG